GGACGGGACCCGCACAAGCAGCGGAGCGUGUGGUUUAAUUCGUUGCUACACGAAGAACCUUACCUGGGUUUGACAUAUAGGUUGUAGGGAACUGAAAAGGGACCGACCCUUCGGGGAGCCUAUACAGGUGUUGCAUGGCUGUCGUCAGCUCGUGUCGUGAGAUGUUCGGUUAAGUCCGCUAACGAGCGCAACCCUCGUCGUAUGUUAUAUGUGUCAUACGAGACUGCCGGUAAAAGCCGGAGGAAGGUGAGGAUGAUGUCAAGUCAGCAUGACCUUUAUAUCCAGGGCUACACACACGCUACAAUGGUCUGUACAAUGGGUAGCCAAGCCGCGAGGCGGAGCCAAUCCUGAAAGCAGGCCUCAGUUCAGAUUGCAGUCUGCAACUCGACUGCAUGAAGCCGGAGUUGCUAGUAACCGCAGGUCAGCAAUACUGCGGUGAAUACGUUCCCGGGUCUU
rnacentral:rRNA from 1 species